GAUGAACGCUGGCGGCGUGCUUAACACAUGCAAGUCGAACGAUGAAGCCCCUCUUGCUGGGUGGAUUAGUGGCGAACGGGUGAGUAACACGUGAGUAACCUGCCCUUAACUCUGGGAUAAGCCUAGGAAACUGGGUCUAAUACCGGAUAGGAGCGUCCACCGCAUGGUGGGGGUUGGAAAGAUUUAUCGGUUUUGGAUGGACUCGCGGCCUAUCAGCUUGUUGGUGAGGUAAUGGCUAACCAAGGCGAGGACGGGUAGCCGGCCUGAGAGGGUGACCGGCAACACUGGGACUGAGACAGGGCCAAGACUCCUCCGGGGGGCAGCGGUGGGGAAUAUUGCACAAUGGGCGAAAGCCUGAUGCAGCGAGGCGGGGUGGGGGAUGACGGCCUUGGGGUUGUAACCCUCUUUCCGUAGGGAAGAAGCGAAAGUGACGGUAGCUGCAGAAGAAGCACCGGCUAACUACGUG
rnacentral:rRNA from 1 species